UCCUGGAUACAGAGUGUUGAGUUGAAAUUCAUAGGGCAUUUUAUAAGAGUUCUGACCUAGAUGGGGUAAACCUCAGUGCAUUUCUUUUCUGUUACCUCAGUAUUACUGGAUUGAAGAAUUGCUGCUUGUUGUUAGGAGGUUCAUUUCAUUUGUCAUUACAUACAACUUUAUACUCAAAGCACUGAGAAUUUCAAGUGGAGUGUAUUGAAGUAGACUUCAGUUUCUUUGCAUCAUUUCUGUGUUCAGUUUUUUAAAUUAUUUCAUAAACCUACUGAAUGUUUUUUAACUAAAUUAAUAUGGCUCGAAUGAACCGCCCAGCUCCUGUGGAAGUCACAUACAAGAACAUGAGAUCUCUUAUUACAUGCAAUCCAACCAAUGUGACCUGAAACAAAUUUAUAGAGGAGCUUCAGAAGUAUGGAGUUACCACAAGAGUAAGAGUGUGUGAAGCAACUUAUGGCUCUACUCUUCCAGAGAAAGAAUCCAUGUUUUCAACUGGCCUGUUGAUGAUGGUGCACCACCAUCCAACCAGAUUGUUAAUAACUGACUGGUUAAGUUUUGUAAAAAUUAUGUUUUGUGAAAAACCUUUGUUGUUGUAUUGCUGUUCAUUGCAUUUCAGGCCUUGGGGUAGCUCCAGUACUUGUUGCCCUAGCAUUAAUUGAAGGUGGAAUGAAAGAUGAAGAUGCGGUGCAAUUCACAAGACAAAAGCAGCAUGGAGCUUUUAACAGCAAGCAACUUUUGUAUUUGGAGUACUACCCUAAAAUGCGGCUGCCCUUCAAAGAGUCCAACGGUCAUAGAAACAACUGCUGUAUUCAAUAAAACUGGAGCAUCUAAUGCUAUUGGAAGUGGAACUUGAGAUAGGACCUAAUUUGUUAUACAUAUUAGCCAACAUGUUGGCUUCUGAGUAUGUCUAACGAAGCUUCCAUAGGAAUACUGAAAGACAGUUUUAUCAGGUCACAAGAUAGACAGAUUUGGCAACCUCUGUGUUUGGGUUACAUGCAAUCUAUUUGGACAGUUGGCAAAAGAUUCUUGGUGUCAGCAUAUAAAAUAUUCUUGUCAUUUGUACCAAUUGACCUUUCCGAAAAUUAGGCAGUAUUGAAUUACGACUUGUUUAAAUCUAUUCCCACAUCAGAAUCUUAUGAAUACAUAGAAAUUUAGGAAGAUUAGGUGCCAAAAUACCCAGAACAAUACUUGCAAACUUUUAGUAUCAUACAGAACUAAAAUCCCAGGAACUAU